GCCGGGCAUGGUGGCUCAUGUCUGUAAUCCCAGCACUUUGGGAGGCCGAGGCAGGUGGAUCACCUGAGGUCAGGAGUUCGAGAGACCAGCCUGACCAACAUGGUGAAACCCUGUCUCUA
rnacentral:SRP_RNA from 1 species